rnacentral:rRNA from 1 species
GAUCAUGGCUCAGGACGAACGCUGGCAGCGUGCUUAACACAUGCAAGUCGAACGAAGAGCGAUGGAAGCUUGCUUCUAUCAAUCUUAGUGGCGAACGGGUGAGUAACGCGUAAUAAACCUGCCCUUCAGAGGGGGACAACAGUUGGAAACGACUGCUAAUACCGCAUACGAUCCAAUCUCGGCAUCGAGGAUGGAUGAAAGGUGGCCUCUAUUUAUAAGCUAUCACUGAAGG